rnacentral:misc_RNA from 1 species
AUGACAAAUCUCGGUGCUGAAGAAGAAGUCGAAUCAUGUCAUUAUCAAUUCGAACUACCAAAGCAUAGUUUAAUGUUUUACGGUUUUUGGGUUAUAUUUAUUGUAAUAAUUGUAGUUAUGACACAUUUUAAUGAUUACUCAGAGCCGAUUGUCCCAUGGGAUAAUUGUGAUAUGAAUAACACCUGGGAGCCUACAACGCGACCUUUCAUUAAUAAAAUGCAGCUAAAAAGUGAACUUUUAAAAAUUGCAAGUUUCCGAGAAAAAAAUCGUUUAUAUCGACGGAAUAAUUUUACAAGAAUCGAAUAUGGCACCUCCUUGUUAUCAUAUUGUAAAUCAGAUGGGCAAUUAAUAUGUGACUGGUAUAAUAAGAAAGCUUUCGUACCAGUUCCUGGUGGUCAUUUUGUAAAGUCAAUCACAAGAACCAUUGAACUCGACCCAUAUUUUUCUUCUGGAUUGCGGUUUUUAGUUUUGGAAUGUAUGAGUUUUCGAAUGACAAUGGCUUUAGUCCGAACAACCGAUGUUCUUACGAGUAAGAUAAAUCCAUUUCCACGAGUUAUUCAAUUUUUGUUAUCAUCUGCACCUUGGAUAUCCUUUCUACAGUCUUUAUCAUUGUUUUUGAUAACUUCUCUUCACUCGGAAUUCGAUAAAGAAUAUCCCGUAUGCGUUUUCAAUGGUGGGAGCAUUCACAUUUCUUGAGAUGCUGAUCGAUCUUCUUCAUGAUGCUUUUGACGGAAGAUUUGUUUUUGUAAGUUUCAAUAGGGAUUCCGUGGCGUUUUGUGCAGUUUUUGUCUCAUUCCUGUCUGCCUACGUGCCUGCGAUAAAAUAUGAUUUUACAAAGUUUUCGUGUUUCAAAAAACGAUUCAAACUCCGAGAUUCUACAUCAAAUCCAUCUUCUUUGUCACAUUUUCAGCUUGCUUUCCGCAUGUUAUUCUAACUUGGAUGCAGUUUCAAAAGCUGAAAAGAUGUCACGCAUAUGUUCCACUAAUUGAUGGAUUAUUCGAAUACAUUUGUGCUGCUGCAAUCAUUGCGUACAACUUUAUAAAUGCUCAAACUCGAAUACAAACGUUUAUUUCGCCUACUGUAAGAGAUGUCCGUAAUGUUUCUUCCUAUUCUAGUGAUGUCUAUAGUCCCGUUUGUUAUAGAGAAAAAUCAAUGAUUUAUGAAAGUUUAAGCGAUAGAAAAUAG